GACGAACGCUGGCGGCGUGCUUAACACAUGCAAGUCGAACGGAAAGGCCUCAGCUUGCUGGGGUACUCGAGUGGCGAACGGGUGAGUAACACGUGGGUGAUCUGCCUUGCACUCUGGGAUAAGCUUGGGAAACUGGGUCUAAUACCGGAUAUGAACUGCCUUUAGUGUGGUGGUUGGAAAGUUUUUUCGGUGCAAGAUGAGCUCGCGGCCUAUCAGCUUGUUGGUGGGGUAAUGGCCUACCAAGGCGUCGACGGGUAGCCGGCCUGAGAGGGUGUACGGCCACAUUGGGACUGAGAUACGGCCCAGACUCCUACGGGAGGCAGCAGUGGGGAAUAUUGCACAAUGGGCGGAAGCCUGAUGCAGCGACGCCGCGUGGGGGAGGACGGCCUUCGGGUUGGAAACUCCUUUCGACAGGGACGAAGCUUUUUGUGACGGUACCUGUAUAAGAAGCACCGGCUAACUACGUG
rnacentral:rRNA from 1 species